ensembl:lncRNA uncharacterized LOC114862044
CCAGGAAUUAUGCGCGCUGACAGGAGAUGCAUGAGCCGCGCAUUGUGCGGCUGGAGCAGCCUUGACAACUUAUAGUUAACUGCUGCAUCGGCGACCCCGAACACAAAAGGAUGCGGCGGCUUAUUAAUGGCCGAGCAUCCGUGUCAAUAAUCCCUGCUUUUGGGUUGUGUCCAGACUCAUGCAUCUUGCCACGCAACCGGCGGCGCACGCAUGCGAACAUGGGCUCAGGCGCGCGCGCGGACGCCGGAGUUAUGAGCGUGAGCGCUGAGUGGAGCUCAGCAGGAGCUGGACACCCGCUUCGGACGUUAUCACGGCAUUCAAUGGCCAUUAUCAGUGGUUGUCAGCUUAUACUUAUGGGCCAAUAGGUGCCUACUCCACCUACUGACAGCGGUGAGUAGGUGCAGCAGGUCGUCGUCAUCUAUUCCUAAAGUAGAUCACGGCUUGGGGGACCAAACCAACUGAAUCCAGAUCCACUAGAGGCGCUGUUAAACCCUUUUUCUUCACGGGAGAAUCGACGCGCUGAUCAAGGCUUUACUGUCAUAUUGGAGAUACUGGAGAUAUGGUGAAACACAGGACAAGUGUGCGAUCUACGAAACAUAGAGUAUGUGUUCGUCGGAGGAUCAUUGGUGGUGCUACCAAAGUUUCUGUUUUGAGAAACGUUUCACAUCCACCUGUAACUGUGGAUGUUACACCUGUCACCACCACAUCAUCUCUGGAUGAACAUUCAGAGGCAGAACCAAGCAGCAGUUGCAUGUCCGAGACUGCUUACACAAAAGCAAAGAAGAAGGAGCUCAGGGCCUGGGACUCAUUGAAGGAGGAUAUGCUGCGGGUAUCUUAUGAGUCAUCAGCACCAUCUACAAAUAUCUGUGCUCUCUGCAAAGAGCAUGCAGAGAGUAGGUGCCUUGAGUGCAGCAGUACUAAUAUGUUUUGUGAGACCUGUAUCACAAAAACCCACCGCAAUUCCUUGCACCUACCAGAGAAAUGGAAUGCCAGUUGUGCAGCUUCAGCGUGACUCUUUGUACAUGUGAACCAGAAACUUGCACCCUGCUCAGAUAUGGAAUCUGGCCUGCGACACCAGAGAGGCCUCAAACAGCGUUCUCUAUAGCUCUUUUGGAGCUUUUUCAUUAUCUGUCCAUGGAAUGCCAGGUAUCUGUUGAGGGAUUCUGCAAUAUGUUGCGGUGGAAAAACAAUCUGUCUCUUUCAGAGGUUAACAUGCUCUACAGAGCUCUGGUGGGAGAAUCUAUAUCCCAGUUUCGCCACCACCACUUUAGAUGCAGAAGUUUAUCUGGUCUUUGUCCCUCAUUUGAUGAUGGAACAACAUGCCCAGUAUGUCCUAAGAGUAACGGCAAUCUGAUUGUAACAAUGGAUGCCAACUUUGGCCUUGUUCGAAAAAGAAGUUCAGGAAGUAGUUUGGUGGAGCCGUUGCAUGGUAACAGAAUGUUUGUGAGGGAAGAAGAUGUGCAAGAAUACCUGUCAUCCCAUCCUGAUGGUUCCAAGCCAAAUGAAGACUGUAGUAAUUUCAAGGCAGGGAACCUGCUUCGUUCUCAAAAAAACCAACAAAAACUAGAUGUAACAGGGGUGUUUGGAGUCUCUUGCCGCCAUGAGAUUCCGUUGGUGUUUUUGAACAUGACCCAGGGAGAACGGCUAGCAUAUCCAAUGUAUAUAAUCAAAGAACUCCUAACAAGGAAUCAGGGCAAGAACCUGAAUCUGUAUGUCAUAUAUGACAUUGCAUGUGUACUUUCAUCACACAUGCAUGUGAGUAUGUUAUCACUAAAAAUGGGCACAAAUUACUUUUGUCUAAUUUAUUUUUGUUAUUAG